rnacentral:rRNA from 1 species
UACAGAGGGUGCAAGCGUUAAUCGGAGUUACUGGGCGUAAAGGGCGCGUAGGUGGUUAUGUAAGUGAGAUGUGAAAUCCCUGGGCUUAACCUAGGAACUGCAUCUUAUACUGCAUAACUGGAGUACUGUAGAGGGUAGUGGAAUUUCCGGUGUAGCGGUGAAAUGCGUAGAGAUCGGAAGGAACACCAGUGGCGAAGGCGGCUACCUGGACAGAUACUGACACUGAGGCGCGAGAGCGUGGGGAGCAACAGG